rnacentral:rRNA from 1 species
GACGAACGCUGGCGGCGUGCUUAACACAUGCAAGUCGAACGGCAAGACCCUGCUUUUUUGGUGUGCUCGAGUGGCGAACGGGUGCGUAACACGUGUGUAACCUGCCCUUCACUUUCGGAUAACUUCAGGAAACUGGGGCUACUACCGGAUAGCAGCUCCUGCUGCAUGGUGGGCGUUGGAAAGUUUCGGCGGUUGGGGAUGGACUCGCGGCUUAUCAGCUUGUUGGUGGGGUAGUUGCUUACCAAGGGUUUGACGGGUAGCCGGCCUGGGAGGGUGACCGGGGACAAGGGGACUGAGAGACGGCCCAGACUGGAACGGGGGGCAGCAGGGGGGAAUAUUGCACAAUGAGAGGAAGCCGGAGGAAGAAACGCCGCGUGCGGGAAGACGGCCUGCGGGUAGUAAACCGCUGUCGCCUGAGACGAAGCGUGAGUGACGGUAAUGGGUAAAGAAGCACCGGCUAACUACGUG